UGUUGUAAUAUGACAUGUGGGUGUUGUGAAAUACUAUACAAAGCACACACACCAACGAUGGCAAAUAAAGUAAAAGCAACACAAUCAAGAACACAACACACAAUAUACGUGGUUCGGCAAAUUGCCUACGUCUACAGGAGCAGUAGAAAUCUUAUU